ACAGCAGUAGCCGCGGGAAUACGUAGGGUGCAAGCGUUAAUCGGAAUUACUGGGCGUAAAGCGUGCGCAGGCGAUUAUAUAAGUCAGAUGUGAAAUCCCCGGGCUCAACCUGGGACCUGCAUUUGUGACUGUAUAGCUAGAGUACGGUAGAGGGGGAUGGAAUUCCGCGUGUAGCAGUGAAAUGCGUAGAUAUGCGGAGGAGCACCGAUGGCGAAGGCAAUCCCCUGGACCUGUACUGACGCUCAUGCACGAAAGCGUGGGGAGCAAACAGGAUUAGAUACCCCCGUAGUCCCUGUCUCUUAUAC
rnacentral:rRNA from 1 species